UACGUAGGGCGCAAGCGUUAUCCGGAAUUAUUGGGCGUAAAGAGCUCGUAGGCGGUUUGUCGCGUCUGCCGUGAAAGUCCGGGCUCAACUCCGGAUCUGCGGUGGGUACGGGCAGACUAGAGUGAUGUAGGGAGACUGGAAUUCCUGGUGUAGCGGUGAAAUGCGCAGAUAUCAGGAGGAACACCGAUGGCGAAGGCAGCUCGCUGGACGUUACUGACACUGAGGCGCGAAGCGUGGGAGCGAACAGG
rnacentral:rRNA from 1 species